GAUGAACGCUAGCUACAGGCUUAACACAUGCAAGUCGAGGGGCAGCAGGGAUUUAGCUUGCUAAAUCCGCUGGCGACCGGCGCACGGGUGCGUAACGCGUAUCCAACUUUCCCGUUACUCAGGGAUAGCCUUCCGAAAGGGAGAUUAAUACCUGAUGGUGUUUGAAAUUCGCAUGUUCUUCAAACUAAAGAUUUAUCGGUAACGGAUAGGGAUGCGUGACAUUAGAUAGUAGGCGGGGUAACGGCCCACCUAGUCUACGAUGUCUAGGGGUUCUGAGAGGAAGGUCCCCCACACUGGAACUGAGACACGGUCCAGACUCCUACGGGAGGCAGCAGUGAGGAAUAUUGGUCAAUGGGCGGAAGCCUGAACCAGCCAAGUAGCGUGAAGGAUUACUGCCCUACGGGUUUUAAACUCUUUUAUGCGAGAGUAAUGUGCGCUACGUGUAGCGUAUUGCAAGUAUCGCAUGAAUAAGCAUCGGCUAACUCCGUGCCAGCAGCCG
rnacentral:rRNA from 1 species